rnacentral:rRNA from 1 species
CCCUUAGAUGUCCUGGGCCGCACGCGCGUUACACUGAUGCAUUCAACGAGCUUAUAACCUUGGCCUGAAAGGUCUGGGUAAUCUUUUGAACGUGCAUCGUGAUAGGGAUAGAUUAUUGCAAUUGUUAAUCUUGAACGAGGAAUUCCUAGUAAACGCGAGUCAUCAGCUCGCAUUGAUUACGUCCCUGCCCUUUGUACACACCGCCCGUCGCACCUACCGAUUGAAUGGUUCGGUGAAGAUCUCGGACUUCGAUAUUUAUUCUUUAUUGAGUUUAUAUUGUGGGAAGUUAUCUAAACCUCAUCAUUUAGAGGAAGGUGAAGUCGUAACA